rnacentral:lncRNA from 1 species
UCCAAUAAAUCAAUUGAACUUGAUCCAAUCAAGCCCAAAUCAAAUCUAAUUAAAUUAUAUUUAAUUAGACUUAAUCUCAAUCCAUUGGCUUAAUCAAAUUAAGUCAAUUAGCAAUUGAAUUGCUAAUCGAUUCUCCUGCAACAUUUGUACUAGGUUAAAUGUCAAUCAUAUUGAUCGUUUAAUCCUAGAAUGAUUCUUAAUCGUUGAUCAAUCAUCCGAUCAGAUCAUGAACUCUAAUGUAUGUGAUUUCAUAGGUCCAAACCUAAGUCGAUAGCAUAAGAAUAAAUUUUUAUACCAAUCGAAGUGAUCAUCUAGCAAUGGUACCCGACAGUCGGAUAGGUCGAAUGUGUAGAACA